rnacentral:rRNA from 1 species
GACGGAGGAUGCAAGUGUUAUCCGGAAUCACUGGGCUUAAAGCGCGUGUAGGCGGAGGGCACGUCCGUUGCUGAAAUCCCACGGCUCAACCGUGGAAGUGCCCCUGAUACUGAUCGCCUCGAGGGAGGUAGGGGCGUGCGGAACUUCCGGUGGAGCGGUGAAAUGCGUAGAUAUCGGAAGGAACACCGAUGGCGAAAGCAGCGCGCUGGACCUUACUGACGCUGAGGCGCGAAAGCCAGGGAGCAAACGGG